AUUAAAUAGAAAUGUAUAUGCAAAACAGCGAGAAAUUUGUAGAUACGUUGAAUGUUGUUGCUUUCACAUUUGCAACUCUUAGUAGUUGUUCAAAACAACAAUGUCGAGCAAAGAUGUUUGCGAUGUUUGAAUGAUUCUUGGAUUGUAUUUGGAUUCCAUCGGUACUAUGGCCUGUUGAUUCGGCACCUUUGUCAUUUUAGCAACUUUUGUUUUCUUUUCUGUGUCGAUGUAGUUCUCUAUACCAUAUUCAUGUUCAUAUCAAUGUCCAUAUCAAGGUCCAUAUCAAUGUCCAUAUCAAUUUCCCAUGUUCCAUUACAUAUCCCGUGUUCUUUCCUUCUUCCAGCUUUUACAUGCUAGCCUUUUAUACAAUGAUUCCUCUCAUCUCGACUCGCUUGAUGAAUGGGCGUUUAGUUUUUGCAACAACAUAUGCGUUGGGUUAUCUCAUAUCGGGAAACACUUUCUGCCACUUUUAACUUGAACAAAGUUGGAGAAAUAAAGUGAUGGCAGAUAUUGCAAGUUGUUUAUAGUGUGCCUGUAGAAAUGUAAAAACGCUAUGUUUCGUGAAUGCCCAGCCUGUAAAUCGAAAUAAGAUUUCGUAUUUAUUAAGCAUUGGAAGAUCACAAUUGGAAAAAACACGAUACGGNUGGUCUCUUCACAGUCGUUCUCCAGUAAUCACAAACAUGAAACCUAAAUAUACGGUAACUUUNGCACCUAUUAGGACNACGCCUCAAGUGACUGCAUUAAAACAUAAUACCGAAGCACUGACAUAACAGAGAGGNUCAGAAAGGGAUUUUAAAGAUUGACUU
rnacentral:sRNA from 1 species